rnacentral:rRNA from 1 species
UAGAGUUUGAUCCUGGCUCAGGAUGAACGCUAGCGGGAGGCCUAACACAUGCAAGCCGAGCGGUAGAGAUUCUUCGGGAUCUUGAGAGCGGCGUACGGGUGCGGAACACGUGUGCAACCUGCCUUUAUCUGGGGGAUAGCCUUUCGAAAGGAAGAUUAAUACCCCAUAAUAUAUUUUUCGGCAUCGAAAGAUAUUGAAAACUCCGGUGGAUAGAGAUGGGCACGCGCAAGAUUAGAUAGUUGGUGAGGUAACGGCUCACCAAGUCUGCGAUCUUUAGGGGGCCUGAGAGGGUGAUCCCCCACACUGGUACUGAGACACGGACCAGACUCCUACGGGAGGCAGCAGUGAGGAAUAUUGGACAAUGGGUGAGAGCCUGAUCCAGCCAUCCCGCGUGAAGGACGACGGCCCUAUGGGUUGUAAACUUCUUUUGUAUAGGGAUAAACCUACCCUCGUGAGGGUAGCUGAAGGUACUAUACGAAUAAGCACCGGCUAACUCCGUGCCAGCAGCCGCGGUAAUACGGAGGGUGCAAGCGUUAUCCGGAUUUAUUGGGUUUAAAGGGUCCGUAGGCGGAUCUGUAAGUCAGUGGUGAAAUCUCACAGCUUAACUGUGAAACUGCCAUUGAUACUGCAGGUCUUGAGUGUUGUUGAAGUAGCUGGAAUAAGUAGUGUAGCGGUGAAAUGCAUAGAUAUUACUUAGAACACCAAUUGCGAAGGCAGGUUACUAAGCAACAACUGACGCUGAUGGACGAAAGCGUGGGGAGCGAACAGGAUUAGAUACCCUGGUAGUCCACGCCGUAAACGAUGCUAACUCGUUUUUGGGUUUUCGGAUUCAGAGACUAAGCGAAAGUGAUAAGUUAGCCACCUGGGGAGUCGAACGCAAGUUUGAAACUCAAAGGAAUUGACGGGGGCCCGCACAAGCGGUGGAUUAUGUGGUUUAAUUCGAUGAUACGCGAGGAACCUUACCAAGGCUUAAAUGGGAAAUGACAGGUUUAGAAAUAGACUUUUCUUCGGACAUUUUUCAAGGUGCUGCAUGGUUGUCGUCAGCUCGUGCCGUGAGGUGUUAGGUUAAGUCCUGCAACGAGCGCAACCCCUGUCACUAGUUGCCAUCAUUAAGUUGGGGACUCUAGUGAGACUGCCUACGCAAGUAGAGAGGAAGGUGGGGAUGACGUCAAAUCAUCACGGCCCUUACGCCUUGGGCCACACACGUAAUACAAUGGCCGGUACAGAGGGCAGCUACACUGCGAAGUGAUGCAAAUCUCGAAAGCCGGUCUCAGUUCGGAUUGGAGUCUGCAACUCGACUCUAUGAAGCUGGAAUCGCUAGUAAUCGCGC